rnacentral:rRNA from 1 species
UACGUAGGGUGCAAGCGUUGUCCGGAAUUAUUGGGCGUAAAGAGCUCGUAGGCGGUUUGUUGCGUCGGCUGUGAAAUCCCGAGGCUCAACCUCGGGUCUGCAGUCGAUACGAGCAAACUAGAGUGUUGCAGGGGAGACUGGAAUUCCCGGUGUAGCGGUGAAAUGCGCAGAUAUCGGGAGGAACACCAAUGGCGAAGGCGAGUCUCUGGGAUGAUGCUGACGCUGAGGCGCGAAAGCCAGGGGAGCAAACGGG